AUGGAUCUACUAGGGAACCCUUUCAAGGGGGUCGUCGGCGAUGUCAAAGGGAGAGCGUCUUGGUACAAGGACGACUGGGUUGCAGGGCUCCGAACUGGCUUCAGGAUAUUGGCACCUACCAUGUAUAUAUUCUUUGCCUCUGCACUCCCUGUCAUCUCCUUCGGAGAGCAGCUGAGCAACGAAACAGAUGGUAUCCUAAGCACAGUUGAAACUCUGGCAUCUACGGCGAUAUGUGGGAUAAUACACGCUAUUCUUGGAGGGCAACCCCUCCUGAUUGUCGGAGUUGCCGAACCUACCAUUAUAAUGUACACGUACCUUUACAAGUUCGCCAAGAAGCAGCCAGAUCUGGGAGAACAGCUAUAUUUGGCUUGGGCUGGAUGGGUCUGCAUUUGGACUGCUAUCAUGCUCUUUCUGUUGGCAAUGUUCAAUGCUUCCAAUGUUAUAAGCAGAUUCACGAGGGUUGCAGGAGAGCUUUUUGGUAUGCUUAUCACCGUCCUCUUCCUGCAACAAGCUAUCAAGGUAUGCCAUGUGCAGCAAAUCGUAGCUCUUUAUUCUGCCCUGCUGAAAAUGCCUAAUACGGGACCCUAUCUAUUGCAGGGAAUUGUAAGCGAGUUCAGUAUGCCGAAAGAUGAUGAGAUUUCUGACCCCAGCUCACCCAUAUACCAGUUCCAGUGGAUUUAUGUCAAUGGCCUACUUGGUGUUAUAUUUUCCAUUGGCUUGCUGUACACUGCACUGAAGACUAGGCGUGCAAGGUCAUGGCUGUAUGGCAUAGGAUGGCUUAGAAGCUUCAUUGCCGAUUAUGGCGUACCGCUGAUGGUGAUUGUGUGGACAGCAUUUUCAUUUACACUACCAAGCAAAGUCCCUUCAGGAGUGCCUAGGAGGCUCUUCAGUCCACUUCCCUGGGAGUCAAUCUCACUGAGACAUUGGACCGUAGCAAAGGAUUUGUUUUCUGUUCCUCCAACAUAUAUAUUUGCAGCCAUCGUGCCUGCUUUGAUGGUCGCAGGACUUUAUUUCUUUGAUCACAGUGUAGCUUCACAGUUGGCUCAGCAAAAGGAGUUCAAUUUGAAGAAGCCUUCUGCCUACCAUUAUGACAUUUUGGUACUUGGAUUCAUGGUCCUACUAUGUGGUUUGCUUGGCAUUCCUCCAUCAAAUGGAGUACUUCCUCAGUCCCCAAUGCAUACAAGAAGCCUUGCUGUCCUCAAGGGGCAGUUGCUACGCAAAAAGAUGCUUCAAACUGCCAAAGAGGGCAUGUCAAACCGUGCGAGCAGUUUGGAAAUCUAUGGCAAGAUGCAGGAAGUGUUCAUCCAAAUGGAUAGCAACCAGAAUGCUAAUUCUGUUGACAAGGACUUGAAGAGCUUGAAGGAUGCUGUGCUGUGGGAAGGUGACGAAGAAGGGAAGUUGGCUGGAGAAUUUGAUCCUAGCAAAUAUAUCGAAGCACAUUUGCCUGUUCGCGUGAACGAACAGAGACUAAGCAACCUGCUGCAAUCCUUACUUGUUGGUGGUUGUGUGGGAGCUAUGCCGGUUAUCAAGAUGAUACCAACUUCGGUCCUCUGGGGUUACUUUGCCUACAUGGCCAUUGAUAGCCUACCUGGGAACCAGUUUUGGGAAAGGUUGCAGCUUCUGUGCAUUGGAGCAAGCCGACGCUACAAGGUCUUGGAAGGCCCACAUGCAUCUUUCGUGGAGUCAGUGCCUUCAAGAACAAUAUCUGCCUUUACGGUCUUCCAGUUUGUGUAUCUCUUGAUAUGCUUCGGCAUAACAUGGAUACCAGUAGCAGGGAUCCUCUUCCCGCUGCCUUUCUUCAUUAUGAUUCUCAUCAGGCAACACCUACUCCCAAAGUUCUUUGAGCCCAAUGACUUGCGGGAACUGGACGCAGCCGAGUACGAAGAACUUGAAGGUGUCCCACAUGAACAAACGCUGGUACGAGUUCAGCUUGGGUUCUCGGCUAAACUUUCUAUCUGUCCAGACUUCGUUUCAUUCUCUGCAACGCCUCAAGGUGUAUUGUCCAUCUUAUGUUACUCUGAAACUCUUGUAUCGUCACGCAGGAGGAAGAUGGCUCAAAUUCAGGAAGCUGUGACAGCAGAGACGACUCUGAAAUAUUGGAUGAGCUCACAACAAACCGUGGAGAGCUGA
rnacentral:rRNA from 1 species